UACGUAGGGGGCGAGCGUUGUCCGGAUUUAUUGGGCGUAAAGAGCGUGUAGGCGGCCAGGUAGGUCCGUUGUGAAAACUCGAGGCCCAACCUCGAGACGUCGAUGGAAACCAUCUGGCUAGAGUCCGGAAGAGGAGAGUGGAAUUCCCGGUGUAGCGGUGAAAUGCGCAGAUAUCGGGAGGAACACCUAUGGCGAAGGCAGCUCGCUGGGACGUUACUGACGCUGAGACGCGAAAGCGUGGGGAGCAAACAGG
rnacentral:rRNA from 1 species